AGAGUUUGAUCCUGGCUCAGGAUGAACGCUAGCUACAGGCUUAACACAUGCAAGUCGAGGGGCAGCAUCAUCAAAGCUUGCUUUGAUGGAUGGCGACCGGCGCACGGGUGAGUAACACGUAUCCAACCUGCCGACAACACUGGGAUAGCCUUUCGAAAGAAAGAUUAAUACCGGAUGGCAUAGUUUUCCCGCAUGGGAUAAUUAUUAAAGAAUUUCGGUUGUCGAUGGGGAUGCGUUCCAUUAGGCAGUUGGCGGGGUAACGGCCCACCAAACCAACGAUGGAUAGGGGUUCUGAGAGGAAGGUCCCCCACAUUGGAACUGAGACACGGUCCAAACUCCUACGGGAGGCAGCAGUGAGGAAUAUUGGUCAAUGGACGAGAGUCUGAACCAGCCAAGUAGCGUGAAGGAUGACUGCCCUAUGGGUUGUAAACUUCUUUUAUACGGGAAUAAAGUUAGCCACGUGUGGCUUUUUGUAUGUACCGUAUGAAUAAGGAUCGGCUAACUCCGUGCCAGCAGCCGCGGUAAUACGGAGGAUCCGAGCGUUAUCCGGAUUUAUUGGGUUUAAAGGGAGCGUAGGCGGGUUGUUAAGUCAGUUGUGAAAGUUUGCGGCUCAACCGUAAAAUUGCAGUUGAUACUGGCGACCUUGAGUGCAACAGAGGUAGGCGGAAUUCGUGGUGUAGCGGUGAAAUGCUUAGAUAUCACGAAGAACUCCGAUUGCGAAGGCAGCUUACUGGAUUGUAACUGACGCUGAUGCUCGAAAGUGUGGGUAUCAAACAGGAUUAGAUACCCUGGUAGUCCACACAGUAAACGAUGAAUACUCGCUGUUGGCGAUAUACAGUCAGCGGCCAAGCGAAAGCAUUAAGUAUUCCACCUGGGGAGUACGCCGGCAACGGUGAAACUCAAAGGAAUUGACGGGGGCCCGCACAAGCGGAGGAACAUGUGGUUUAAUUCGAUGAUACGCGAGGAACCUUACCCGGGCUUAAAUUGCAACUGACGGAACCGGAAACGGUUCUUUCUUCGGACAGUUGUGAAGGUGCUGCAUGGUUGUCGUCAGCUCGUGCCGUGAGGUGUCGGCUUAAGUGCCAUAACGAGCGCAACCCUUAUCGAUAGUUACUAGCAGGUCAUGCUGAGGACUCUAUUGAGACUGCCGUCGUAAGAUGUGAGGAAGGUGGGGAUGACGUCAAAUCAGCACGGCCCUUACGUCCGGGGCUACACACGUGUUACAAUGGGGGGUACAGAAGGCAGCUACACGGCGACGUGGUGCUAAUCCCGAAAGCCUCUCUCAGUUCGGAUUGGAGUCUGCAACCCGACUCCAUGAAGCUGGAUUCGCUAGUAAUCGCGCAUCAGCCACGGCGCGGUGAAUACGUUCCCGGGCCUUGUACACACCGCCCGUCAAGCCAUGAAAGCCGGGGGUACCUGAAGUACGUAACCGCGAGGAGCGUCCUAGGGUAAAACUGGUGAUUGGGGCUAAGUCGUAACAAGGUAGCCGUACCGGAAGGUGCGGCUG
rnacentral:rRNA from 1 species